ACAUCAGUCAGGGGCACACGUGGAUCCUCUCCUAGAAUUAAAACUGGGUCCAGCAGUAUGUGUAAGUUGUACAACUCGGAAGAAGUGUUUUCGUAUUUGUGUUUUGAUUGAAGACAAUUAAUGAAAAUGUGUAUUACUGUUAACGGUUCCUGGACUUUGAUUCAGAUGUGUUUUUGUCUUGCUCAAAAUGCACUUCAGUGUGGCUGAGACAGUAACUUACAAUCCACUACAUACAUAAAUGCAGUAACACAGCGAAAGCUCUCAUUCUUGUUGAAGAACAAGUUUAUAUUAUCCUUCAGCGCACGCUUAUACAUACGAAGCAACAGCAGAGGACAAACUGCAAUAGAAAUUGCAUUUCGCUUCUUAGUUCUGUGCACAAAGCCUGGUGUCCUUGUUGAUGUUCUGUAACUUUGGCAAAUAACAUUACUAUACAAAUGCAGCCACCAGAAGAAAUUAAGAAAAGUUGGUGAAGUGUACAUCUCUCGCAGU
rnacentral:lncRNA from 1 species